rnacentral:rRNA from 1 species
CAGCAGCCGCGGGAAUACGAAGGGUGCAAGCGUUACUCGGAAUUACUGGGCGUAAAGCGUGCGUAGGUGGUGGUUUAAGUCCGUUGUGAAAGCCCUGGGCUCAACCUGGGAAUUGCAGUGGAUACUGGGUCACUAGAGUGUGGUAGAGGAUAGUGGAAUUUCCGGUGUAGCAGUGAAAUGCGUAGAGAUCGGAAGGAACAUCUGUGGCGAAGGCGACUAUCUGGGCCAACACAGACACUGAGGCACGAAAGCGUGGGGAGCAAACAGGAUUAGAUACCCGAGUAGUCCCUGUCUCUUAUAC